rnacentral:pre_miRNA from 2 species
UUGGGGCGAUUGUCGGACUAGUCGCUUCUUGAAAUCAGCCCAAGUGACUAGACCGAACACUCGCGUCCUAAAAC